rnacentral:rRNA from 1 species
GGAUUAGUGCGCCGGUCGUGCCUUCGGUAUGUACUGGUGUUACUGGUUCCUACCUUCUGACGAACCGUCAUGUCAUUAAUUUGGUGUGGCGGGGAAUCAGGACUGUUACUUUGAAAAAAUUAGAGUGCUCAAAGCAGGCAUCUUGCUUGAAUAUAUUAGCAUGGAAUAAUGGAAUAGGAC